CUACUCUAUAAAUAGAGUACUUUCUCAUUUAUUUUUUUUUAAAGAUUUUUUCUUUUGAAAGAGAGACGUAAAAAUAUUCUUCCAACAACAAGAAAAAACUCUCUCUUCGUCUAGCUCUCUAGAACGUUCUAGAGAGGUAACGGCUAAUUUAUUUGAUUCAUAUGUCAUUUUCAUGUAUAAAUAUUCAAUACAUAACAGCUCAAAAUACACAAGUAUUCAAUCACCACCGCUUAGGCGGUGGGUUGACCGGUUGACGACAAUCACCACCGCGUCUCUAGUGCUACUGUCCCCCACA
rnacentral:lncRNA from 1 species